rnacentral:rRNA from 1 species
GAUGAACGCUAGCGGGAGGCCUAAUACAUGCAAGUCGAGCGGUAGAGUGACUUCGGUUGCUUGAGAGCGGCGAACGGGUGAGUAACGCGUACACAAUCUACCUUUAAGAGGGGAAUAGCCCUGGGAAACUGGGAUUAAUGCCCCAUGGCAUCACGAAGUGGCAUCGCUUUGUGAUUAAAGCUGAGGUGCUUAGAGAUGAGUGUGCGUCUGAUUAGCUAGUUGGUGCGGUAACGGCGCACCAAGGCGACGAUCAGUAGGGGGCGUGAGAGCGUGGACCCCCACACGGGUACUGAGACACGGACCCGACUCCUACGGGAGGCAGCAGUAAGGAAUAUUGGUCAAUGGAGGAAACUCUGAACCAGCCAUCCCGCGUGCAGGAAGAAUGCCCUAUGGGUUGUAAACUGCUUUUAUCUGGGAAGAAAAGUCGGCAUUUAUGCUGAUCUGACGGUACCAGAGGAAUAAGCACCGGCUAACUCCGUGCCAG